rnacentral:rRNA from 1 species
GACGAACGCUGGCGGCGUGCUUAACACAUGCAAGUCGAACGAAGUGGCGCACGGGUGAGUAACGCGUAAUCAACCUGCCCUUCAGAGGGGGACAACAGUUGGAAACGACUGCUAAUACCGCAUACUGAGGGGGGGGAUUGAGUCUGAUUAGCUAGUUGGAGGGGUAACGGCCCACCAAGGCGAUGAUAAGUAGCCGGUCUGAGAGGGUGAACGGCCACAUUGGGACUGAGACACGGCCCAGACUCCUACGGGAGGCAGCAGUGGGGAAGCUUCCGCAAUGGACGAAAGUCUGACGGAGCAACGCCGCGUGAGUGAUGACGGCCUUCGGGUUGUAAAGCUCUGUUAUUCGGGACGCGGUACCGGAAUAGAAAGCCACGGCUAACUACGUGCCAGCAGCCGCGGUAAUUC